ACUGUCAAAACCCCAACUCGUCCUUUUCCGUUCUCUUUAUUCAGCACAGAAGAGAGAGAGGGAGGGGAGGAGAGAGAGAGCUUAUCCCGGAGAUUGACGGCAGGGAAGAGCUUUCACAUUCUCACGACAAGCAAAGUUUUGCAGGCAAAAGGCCCAACCAGAGCUCUGGUUAGUGGUUUCUGCGUUUAUCUUACCAUUAGAGCAGUUUGUAAGCAACUAUGAGCAACCAUGAAAGACAACAAACAAUUUGAACGGCCAUGGAAAAACGGCAGUACGUUUGGGAAACAGACGAAAUAAGAACUUUCUCGAGAGUAAUUUGUAGAGAGAGUUCAAGGACUUGGGAGGCCUUUUAUUGAUUCUGGAAUUUAGUUCCGCCGACGUUCGAUCAUUCAGUUUUGAUGCGGUUUCAGAGCGUCAGGAGACGUAAUUAACUGUUGAACGGAUUCGACUUCUUGUUGAUUCAGGAAUUUGGUUUUGUUGUUUUCUGGAAGUCGUCAGUAAUUACUUGAGUUGUCUAGAAAAGAGGAUGAAUCACUGCGUUCCUGAUUUCGAGAGGGACGAAGAUUUCUCGCUUUCUAAUUCUUCCGUGCAAUUGCGCUUCAAAACAUCUUCCAUGUCAGACGGCGAGGUUAUGGAACUUCUUUGGCAGAACGGGCAGGUGAUUAUGCAAAAUCAGAACCAGAAAUCUAGAACGAAAUCCCCACCUUCAACAACUGCCGACCAAAUUACGAGUGGAGAUAAUCAACCUUUGCAACAAGAUGAACCACCGCAGCUUUUCAUGCAGGAAGACGAAAUGAUUUCGUGGCUUCAUUAUCCUCUUGUCGAUGAUUCUACCUUGGAGAAUAGCUUCUGCAAUGAACUCCUCUAUCAUUCGGAUCCUCAGAGUAUUGAUCAAAACGAUGGCGUUUCUUCUCAAAUUCGUACUAGUCAUGGCGUGGAGUUUCAGCCGUUAACGACAACGGCGACUUCAACGAUGGCUGCUCGGCCGCCAAUACCACCAAUGAGAAGAACGGAACCGGAAACAGAGGUAAAUAAUUUCGGACUCUUCUCGAGGUUCACACCUACGGUCGAAUCUCCUCCGUCGAAUUCGAAGAGCAUAGUAAGAGAAUCUCCGGUGGUUGGUUCGACUUCGAGCAACACAACGGUGUUGACGCUCGAAUCUACGGCUUCGGAAUUACAGAGGACGGCUACGGCCGAUGCAUCAAUCGGUGAUUUAGCCUGCGCGGUUAUGAGCGGUGGUGGAGUAGCGGCUACAUCGACUGGUAAUGGUGUAGGGCUGAUGAAGAUGAUAGGUGGUGAAACAGAAUCGAUUCAAAGGACGAUGAGUCUUGAGGACCGGAAGCGGAAAGGAAAAGAAAUGGAUGAUUCCGACUACCAAUGCUACAGCCCGGACGUUGAGUUCGAAGCUACUGAUGUGAAGAAGCAAGCUCGUGGAUCAACCUCUACAAAAAGAUCUCGUGCUGCUGAGGUCCAUAAUCUCUCUGAGCGAAGAAGAAGAGAUAGGAUAAAUGAAAAGAUGAAAGCUUUGCAGGAGCUCAUACCUCGGUGUAACAAGGUAGACAAAGCUUCAAUGUUGGAUGAGGCAAUUGAGUACUUGAAGUCACUUCAGUUGCAAGUUCAGAUAAUGUCCAUGGGAUGUGGUAUGGUGCCCAUGAUGUUUCCUGGGGUCCAACAAUUCAUGCCGCCAAUGGGAAUGGGACUUGGAAUGGGCAUGGGCAUGGGCAUGGAAACAGGUGUGAACCGUCCCAUGAUGCCAUACCCCAACAUGUUAGCUGGGCCAAUGUUUCCAAGGCAAUCUGGAGCUGCUCAACUUGGCCCAACUUUCUCAUUCCCAGCCUUCAAUAUGGCGCAUCAGAAUUCAAGAAUUCAAGAGACAAAUCAGUCGAAUCAAUUGCACAGCUUACCAGGAAUGAAAAAUAUAAACCCGCCAGGGGCCUCAAGUUCACUCGAUGGCUAUCAGCAGUUUCUUGGUUCCCAACAGAUGCCUGCGCCAGCCGCAGUAUCACAGCCUUCCCGACAGAAUCAACCAGCCAAUCAACAAAAUAGUGGGGGACUUGAAAACAUCGACAAUCACGAACCAGGAAGCCCCACCAUGGAUCCAUGCUGAAAUUGGAGGAAGCAUGGAAUGUCCUGGAUAGGCCUCCAUGCCUGCAAAAUUUUGUAGCUAGAGCAUUGAAAGAGGAAAUGGGAAGGGGAAGAGGAAGAAGGCAAGUGCUGGUGAAGAGAAGACUAAGGUGAACCAAGAGAAUUUAAUUUGGAUUUUGAAGUGAGAAUCAUAGACUAGAUAUAUAUAUAUAUAUAUAUAGAUAUAGAUAUAUAAUAAGUAUUUAACCUAUUCGAUCUUUUAGGUUAACCACGUCUAAGUUUAAUGUUUUUUUUUUUAAUGUUUUUUGUUAUGCUCUUUUCUGACUUAUGACUUAUUAUUAAAGAUUAUUCGUUUGGUUCAAUAAUGUUUUCGUUUAG